CCGGCCCGGCUCAUUUUCCCUUUAGUUUAUUUUUGUGAGGGCAAAAGGGAGGAAGUGGGGUUACUUCUCUUUUGGUUAAAAAGAUGAAGGGAUCUAUCUUAGGUGCUGCAACGGAACAGUCUCCAGAUGGUUUGAGGGGCUCACUUCCCCCCCACACUUUGUUAACUUGCUUAGCUGACUUAGACUCCUCUCUUCCAACUGCUGAUGGCCUAGGGACCGUCGGGGGGCGGGGGGGGGGGGUCCUGGGAGGAAGGGAAUUAACUAAGGAAAGAGUUUGAGUCCUUCUCUGGCUAGGAUCCAGGCUAAUAUCCUGGGUUAAAGAAGGAGCAAGGGAUGACCUCGUUGGGCAGGCAGGAGCACGAGGUCUAACUCCUGGCAUGAGAGCCAGGAGACAGCAGCAGGGAGCGCUGGGAGGCAGGGAGCCCUGGAGCUCUGCAGGCCCCUUUCCCCUAACCCUUCCACCCAACACGUGUGUUUGUCUUGUAGCACAUGUGACGAUCAUCUGAACAGCAGCCACAAGGGGGCACUCGCAGGGCUGGUGCUGCAGGGCCAGGCAGGCAGAAGCUGAAGAGGGUUUUCCUGCCCAAGGAUAGAACAGGCCGGACCUUGAGGGCAGGAACUCCAUGAAUUGUCCCUUCCAGCCCACACUCUCUGCCACCUCCUGGCCCUGUCCCAUUUCUAAGCCUGAGGCAGAAAGUCGCCUGGUCCUCUGUCUCCGUAGGGACCAGACAUGGGGGCUGAGGUUAAAGGCUGGGAUAGUCUGUGAGUGCUGGCUGCACCCCUGAGAACUUCGUGGGGACUGCCGUGGGGAGCCAGCAGGAGCGGGGCAGAGAUUCCUCUAGACCCCUUUUUUGCUCCCAGUUUCCAUGGAGGACAACCCAAUCAGCAGCAGUAUAGCCAAGGCCUCCAGAAACGUGGAGAAAUACCUAGGGAGAGUUCUGGUCAAGCCAUGCCAGUGUCGUGCAAGCAUCACUAGGAAGGGAAAGUUUAUUUGGAGAGGACUGGUCCAAGGUUGCGGGACUUCACAGUCCCACAUCACCUUCUCAGCCUGUUAGAGUGGGCUGGGCCUGGGGCUCCCUGGGUCCUGGGGUGGGAGGUGAAGGUUCCUGAAAAGAGCAAGGGGCAGGCAGAGGAGAAAGGCUCCCCACACACCCCAGCCCCUGCCUGCCACCUGAAGCCUGUCACCUGAAGUACACUGCCAUCCACUCACCUUAUCAGGUAGAAUCUCCUGGCCCAGAAACCAGAAGCCAUUUGUCUUUGAGCCUAAAUCAGUUGCCACAAGCCCCCAGACGAGUGAAGACAGAGGGGAGAGAGCAGUGAAAACUGCAGGGCUGUCGGAGGGGGGAGUGUGGGGGGUGAGGGGGUGCUGGGAGCCUGAGAGGACACUGCAUCCCCAUUUCCUGUGCACACAUCGCUCCCUUCUAUAAUCUUAAGCCAUUACUAGACUGCUCUGGAGCCCGGUGGAGUGUAGUCUGCCCCCAGUCCUGUUUACUCACCUGCUUCCCUUGAGUAUCGAAUGUGACUGUUUGAAAAGCUGGUAGAAUUAAUCCCUCUUACUGUAGGUAGCGCUGCGACUCUGGGAUUUUUUUUUUUCUUUUCUGCUGUGUUCUUUCAGAUGAGAUAUCUAUAAAUAUCUAUACAUUAUAUAUAUAUAUGUAUAUUGGGUCCUCUUGCGUGUGGUUUUCCAUCAGAGGCUGUCUCUUUGGUCAAAGUGAACUUUUAAUGGAGUUUAUUAUUUUCCUCUCUGUACAAAGUGAAGAGCCUAAUUUUGUGUAUUCUGGUGGCUGAUGUCAUGAGAUUUUGAGAUGACAAAAUAUAAAACAAAUAAAAAUCCUUGUCAACGUAGAGAGAGUUAACUGUGCUGAAAAACUAAUAAAGAAACUAAAAAGAA
rnacentral:lncRNA from 1 species